rnacentral:rRNA from 1 species
GGAUUUAUUGGGNUAAAGGGUGCGUAGGCGGCCUGUUAANUCAGCGGUGAAAUCUAGGGGCUUAACUCNUAAAUUGCCAUUGAUACUGGUGGGCUUGAGUGUAGAUGAGGUAGGCGGAAUGCGUGGUGUAGCGGUGGAAUGCAUAGAUAUCACGCAGAACUCCAAUUGCGAAGGCAGCUUACUAAGGUACAACUGACGCUGAAGCACGAAAGCGUGGGUAUCAAACAGGAUUAGAUACCCUGGUAGUCCACGCAGUAAACGAUGAUAACUGGGCGUAUGCGAUAUACAGUAUGCUCCUAAGCGAAAGCGUUAAGUUAUCCACCUGGGGAGUACGCCGGCAACGGUGAAACUCAAAGGAAUUGACGGGGGCCCGCACAAGCGGAGGAACAUGUGGUUUAAUUCGAUGAUACGCGAGGAACCUUACCCGGGAUUGAAAUGUAGAUGACCGCCGGUGAAAGUCGGCUUCCCUUCGGGGCAUCUAUGUAGGUGCUGCAUGGUUGUCGUCAGCUCGUGCCGUGAGGUGUCGGCUUAAGUGCCAUAACGAGCGCAACCCCUGUCUACGGUUGCCAUCAGGUGAUGCUGGGAACUCCGUAGAGACUGCCGUCGUAAGGCGUGAGGAAGGUGGGGAUGACGUCAAAUCAGCACGGCCCUUACAUCCGGGGCGACACACGUGUUACAAUGGUGGGGACAAAGGGCAGCUACCUGGCGACAGGAUGCGAAUCUCCAAACCCCAUCACAGUUCGGAUCGGAGUCUGCAACUCGACUCCGUGAAGCUGGAUUCGCUAGUAAUCGCGCAUCAGCCAUGGCGCGGUGAAUACGUUCCCGGGCCUUGUACACACCGCCCGUCAAGCCAUGGGAGUCUGGANUACCU